rnacentral:snRNA from 1 species
AUGCUCACUUUGACAGCACGUGUACUAAGCUGGAAUGAUACAGAGAAGAUUAGCAUGGCUCUUGCACAAGGACAACAGGCAAAUUCAUCAAGCAUUCCAUAAAAAA